rnacentral:rRNA from 1 species
AUUGAACGCUGGCGGCAUGCCUUACACAUGCAAGUCGAACGGUAACAGGUCUUCGGAUGCUGACGAGUGGCGAACGGGUGAGUAAUACAUCGGAACGUGCCUAGUAGUGGGGGAUAACUACUCGAAAGAGUGGCUAAUACCGCAUGAGAUCUACGGAUGAAAGCAGGGGAUCGCAAGACCUUGUGCUACUAGAGCGGCCGAUGGCAGAUUAGGUAGUUGGUGGGAUAAAAGCUUACCAAGCCGACGAUCUGUAGCUGGUCUGAGAGGACGAUCAGCCACACUGGGACUGAGACACGUCCCAGCCUCCUACGGGAGGCAGCAGUGGGAAAUUUUGGACAAUGGGCGAAAGCCUGAUCCAGCAAUGCCGCGUGCAGGAUGAAGGCCUUCGGGUUGUAAACUGCUUUUGUACGGAACGAAAAGCCCCGGGUUAAUACCCUGGGGUCAUGACGGUACCGUAAGAAUAAGCACCGGCUAGCUACGUGCCAGCCGCCGCCGUAA